rnacentral:rRNA from 1 species
ACAUGCAAGUCGAACGGUGAAGCAGAGCUUGCUCUGUGGAUCAGUGGCGAACGGGUGAGUAACACGUGAGCAACCUGCCCCUGACUCUGGGAUAAGCGCUGGAAACGGCGUCUAAUACCGGAUAUGAGCUGCGAUCGCAUGGUCAGCAGUUGGAAAGAUUUUUCGGUCUGGGAUGGGCUCACGGCCUAUCAGCUUGUUGGUGAGGUAAUGGCUCACCAAGGCGUCGACGGGUAGCCGGCCUGAGAGGGUGACCGGCCACACUGGGACUGAGACACGGCCCAGACUCCUACGGGAGGCAGCAGUGGGGAAUAUUGCACAAUGGGCGAAAGCCUGAUGCAGCAACGCCGCGUGAGGGAUGACGGCCUUCGGGUUGUAAACCUCUUUUAGCAGGGAAGAAGCGAAAGUGACGGUACCUGCAGAAAAAGCGCCGGCUAACUACGUGCCAGCAGCCGCGGUAAUACGUAGGGCGCAAGCGUUAUCCGGAAUUAUUGGGCGUAAAGAGCUCGUAGGCGGUUUGUCGCGUCUGCUGUGAAAUCCCGAGGCUCAACCUCGGGUCUGCAGUGGGUACGGGCAGACUAGAGUGCGGUAGGGGAGAUUGGAAUUCCUGGUGUAGCGGUGGAAUGCGCAGAUAUCAGGAGGAACACCGAUGGCGAAGGCAGAUCUCUGGGCCGUUACUGACGCUGAGGAGCGAAAGGGUGGGGAGCAAACAGGCUUAGAUACCCUGGUAGUCCACCCCGUAAACGUUGGGAACUAGUUGUGGGGUCCAUUUCCACGGAUUCCGUGACGCAGCUAACGCAUUAA